rnacentral:misc_RNA from 1 species
GAUGAAGAACGUAGCGAAAUGCGAUACUUGGUGUGAAUUGCAGAAUCCCGUGAACCAUCGAGUCUUUGAACGCAAGUUGCGCCCGAAGCCAUUAGGCCGAGGGCACGCCUGCCUGGGCGUCACACGUCGUUGCCCCCCCAUCUACUCCUUCGGGAUUGCGGGUGGCGGAUGAUGGCCUCCCGUGCGCCUCGUCGCGCGGUUGGCAUAAAUGCCAAGUCCUCGGCGACGCACGCCACGACAAUCGGUGGUUGCGAAACCUCGGUUGCCCGUCGUGUGCGGUCGUCGCGCAUCGAGGGCUCGAAAAAAAUUGCCGGGCUCCGGCUCGGCUUUCAACGCGACCCCAGGUCAGGCGGGGUUACCCGCUGAAUUUAAGCAUAUCAAUAAGCGGAGGA